rnacentral:tRNA from 1 species
GGAGGGGUGCUGGCUCAGUGGUAGAGCAUCUGGUGGGCAUUCAGAAGGUCCCAACUUCAUUCCCAGGCAUCUCCA